GAAUACCGGUGGCGAAGGCGGCCCCCUGGACGAAGACUGACGCUCAGGUGCGAAAGCGUGGGGAGCAAACAGGAUUAGAUACCCUGGUAGUCCACGCCGUAAACGAUGUCGACUUGGAGGUUGUGCCCUUGAGGCGUGGCUUCCGGAGCUAACGCGUUAAGUCGACCGCCUGGGGAGUACGGCCGCAAGGUUAAAACUCAAAUGAAUUGACGGGGGCCCGCACAAGCGGUGGAGCAUGUGGUUUAAUUCGAUGCAACGCGAAGAACC
rnacentral:rRNA from 1 species